rnacentral:lncRNA from 1 species
CACAGGGACUCGGUUAGCAGAUUAAAAUUUUGUAAAUCAAUGUUUUUAAUUUAUUUUUUAUUAUUUCCUGUCUAUUUGCAUUACUAUAUUAACGUAUUUAACGUUGCCAUCACUAUUUCUUUGUUUUCUGGCAAUGUGCAGUUUACUAUCCAUAUCCAUAUACUGAAAAAACCUAAAGGGAUCUAAGUCGCCAUCUUGAAUUGCCUUCCCUACUUUAGAUAAAAAAUAAUUAAAAAUAUUAAUAAAUUACUAUAUACCUU